UCCCUCCAACGGGCUUCCCUGAUUGAUAUCUGGCCAAAAGUCAGACAAAUGUCGAUCGGGCAGGGUUAAAAAUGCAGUCGGAUUGCGGGCACAUCUGUCUGUUGAUGCGGUCCCGCUAUCCAACCACCAGUAUUGCCUACAUUAUGAUCCGAUCGUUGGGCCUAGGGCUAACGAUCGGAUCAGCUCGAUAUCUGUCACCUCAAUGUGGGCCACUCGUUUGACAAAAUUGCGCCUCAGUUUAAUAUCCAGAGAUUCCAGAUCCUCAAAAAACCUUGUGAUAUAUGCUAGAAAAGCUCCAUGUUUAAAAUAUCCCACCUUUCAUUUGGCUUCUGCUAUCAAUUUUUAAAUUGUCCUGCCUUCAUAGAGACUACUUCUGACCUUUCUCUAAGAUUUUAUUUCUCAAGAAUCCACGCCGAUGACAUCUUUAUUAUUAUCCUUAAUUUAUUUAUAGCCCUGACACUUUUAACAUCUCGCUCGUGUUCUUUGGUUGACCAAUCUUUGUCUUGGGUUAAUUUUAGCAAAUGUUUGAUCUUUUCGGUGACAAUUGUAAAGGUAACCCUAACCAUGUUCUGUCCUUUAUCCCUUGUUCUUCCUCCUCUCUCUUGGGACUUGCAGCAGGUACAAUCGGCUUGGACUUCCGUUUUCAUCAACCAUUUGACAACACAAUGGAGACUUCCCCCGCCUGUCAUGGCUGGGCCGCCAUCAUCGGGGAACACGGGGUACAGUUGUACCGGUCCUGGGCUAAAGGGGGGCCUGGCUCCAAAGUUCCUGCAGUCCCGAAGACCCGAAGCCGCACUGAAUAAAUAUACAAUGACAAAAUACCCGGAGUUAAAGUCCUGCAGCCGCGAAAAGACCCGAAGCUACGAAAGGAGCCGAAGAAGCUAAAGAAGAACCUAAGAGCCUGUUCCCACCCCAGUUAUAAAUGUGGAGAUGGAACAGAAUACGAGUGACUGGUGCAAUUUCACUCUUCAUUGUUCUGCCCCAACAAAGUCAUCAGCUCUGUCCUACAGUUGGAUGUACAGACACAAAGAGCGGUACCAGCCCUAUACCAAUGGUACCACAAUCCAUGUGUCACUGCAGCCUGAAUCCUGGGAUGAGGAGUAUCUGUGCUUGAUACACAACUCGGCUGACCAGAAAAAUGUCUCCAUUACCACUAAGAAAGUUUGUCCUGAUACCAGCCUCAAAAAAAGCACAGCUGAUAAAAGCUGCAGGAUGAGGCUGUACAUCUACCUGCCAAUACUCACUGCUCUCUCCUUGUCACUAGCAGCUCUCAUCAUUGUCACAAGAACUAAAAGGGAAGAACAUCACAAACAGAUAAACUGAAAAUAAAGGGAAAUGUAUUAAAAACCUUUUAGACCUCCAAUUUUGUGUUCACAGUUCACAGUUCACAGUUACUGGUAACCUGUUUCAAACCAAACAUCUGCUUCUCCAUUGGUUACUAGUCUCGCAUAAACUCAUACUUUAGUUCUUCUCCUUUGUAAAGCACUGAUUAGGCUUCAUCUGGAGUACAGUUUUGAUCUCCAUUGCUCAUAAUAAUAAUAUGAUAAUAUAUUAACAGAAGGUAAUAAAUGGUAUAGAAGAUCUAAGGAUGGUCAAUCAGGAUUUUUUUUAUUAGGGAACAGGAAAUAAAACGGGAAAUAUGAACACUAUGUCUAAAUAUCUAAAGGGACUAUGCAAUCGCCCCUGCCCUUGCCCCACUUAAAUCUUUCCAAAGCACAGAACUGCAACUAUCUGCAUUACAUUUAUGCAUUCUUCCCAUAACUUGGUGGGUUCCCUCCCACACUUGGGAAAAAACAAGCAGAUUUAAUGGCUACAGGUGAAACUGACCAUGAAAAUGGUGAUGAUGCAGAGUUGGUGAGAAUGUAACAGAUGUUAUAUAAGUCUUUUUCUCAGAUGUGGCCUUGAACUGGUUCAAAAUAUUUUGCUCCAUCUUUAAUACAGUUUACACCUAUUGUAAAGUCAGGACUUUUUGGAACAUCUGUCUAAUGUAGUUACAGGAGUAGCUGGGGUGGACCCAUUAUAUAUUGUUAUCAGUUGUGUCAAUCACUGCACAUGCUCUGUGCUGCUGUCACUUACUGAGCUUAGGGACCCACUCACAAUAUACAGUACACAUAGAAUAGAAAUG